rnacentral:rRNA from 1 species
CCGCGUCCCCAGGUCAGGCGUGAAUACCCGCUGAGUUUAAGCAUAUCAAUAAGCGGAGGA